AGAGUUUGAUCAUGGCUCAGGAUGAACGCUAGCGGCAGGCCUAAUACAUGCAAGUCGAACGGUGGUAGCAAUACCAUAGUGGCGCACGGGUGCGUAACGCGUAACCAACCUACCCAGAACUGGGGGAUAGCCCGCCGAAAGGCGGAUUAAUACCGCAUAAGCUCUUUACCUGGCAUCAGGUGAUUAGUAAAGAUUUAUUGGUUUUGGAUGGGGUUGCGUGCCAUUAGCUAGUUGGUGAGGUAACGGCUCACCAAGGCGACGAUGGCUAGGGGAGCUGAGAGGCUGGUCCCCCACACGGGCACUGAGAUACGGGCCCGACUCCUACGGGAGGCAGCAGUAGGGAAUAUUGGGCAAUGGUCGAGAGACUGACCCAGCCAUGCCGCGUGCAGGAUGAAGGCUUUCUGAGUCGUAAACUGCUUUUAUCAGGGAAGAAUAAGCUCCAUGCGUGGAGUGAUGACGGUACCUGAGGAAUAAGCACCGGCUAACUCCGUGCCAGCAGCCGCGGUAAUAC
rnacentral:rRNA from 1 species